GCGGUGAAGUCAGACCGGAAGGACUGGUGGAGCGCUUAGAAGUGAGAAUGCCGGUAUGAGUAGCGAAAGAAGGGUGAGAAUCCCUUCCACCGAAUAUCUAAGGUUUCCUGAGGAAGGCUCGUCCGCUCAGGGUUAGUCGGGACCUAAGCCGAGGCCGAUAGGCGUAGGCGAUGGACAACAGGUAGAGAUUCCUGUACCAGUGCUAAUUGUUUAACCGAUGGGGUGACACAGAAGGAUAGGGAAUCGCACGAAUGGAAAUGUGCGUCCAAGCAGUGAGUGUGAGAAGUAGGCAAAUCCGCUUCUCGCGAAGCAUGAGCUGUGAUGGGGAAGGAAAUUAAGUACGGAAGUUCCUGAUUUCACGCUGUCAAGAAAAGCCUCUAGGAAGAGUAGUACUGCCCGUACCGCAAACCGACACAGGUAGAUGAGGAGAGAAUCCUAAGGUGAGCGAGAGAACUCUCGUUAAGGAACUCGGCAAAAUGACCCCGUAACUUCGGGAGAAGGGGUGCUCUAUUAGGGUGCAAGCCCGAGAGAGCCGCAGUGAAUAGGCCCAGGCGACUGUUUAGCAAAAACACAGGUCUCUGCAAAACCGUAAGGUGACGUAUAGGGGCUGACGCCUGCCCGGUGCUGGAAGGUUAAGAGGAGUGCUUAGCUUCGGCGAAGGUACGAAUUGAAGCCCCAGUAAACGGCGGCCGUAACUAUAACGGUCCUAAGGUAGCGAAAUUCCUUGUCGGGUAAGUUCCGACCCGCACGAAAGGCGCAACGAUCUGGGCACUGUCUCAACGAGAGACUCGGUGAAAUUAUAGUACCUGUGAAGAUGCAGGUUACCCGCGACAGGACGGAAAGACCCCGUGGAGCUUUACUGCAACCUGAUAUGGAAUGUUUGUACCGCUUGUACAGGAUAGGUAGGAGCCGAAGAGACGUGUGCGCUAGCAUACGAGGAGGCAAUGGUGGGAUACUACCCUGGCUGUAUGACCAUUCUAACCCGCCACGCUUAGCGCGUGGGGAGACAGUGUCAGGUGGGCAGUUUGA
rnacentral:rRNA from 1 species